rnacentral:pre_miRNA from 1 species
UCAUGGAUGAACAAAGAAAGUGGUUUCUUGAGAUGGAAUCUACUCCUGGUGAAAAUGUCGUGAA